CUAGUAUAACAUGUGUCGUGUGUUUGAUCAAUCAUAUUCAUAGCAAGCAAACGAAAUCGUUAUACGGUCCGACAGCAAGUUCGAUAACUACUUCAACUUUGUAAAAUUAAGACGUUUUGAACUGGGUGAGGGAUGGACGGGGAGAAAGAGACAGCGGAGAAGGAUGACACAGAGCUGUCCGAAGAAGGGGCUGGACGCAGUCAUUUCCACGAGGACGACCAGGACCUACCCAUCAUGCACUGGGAGGACCUAAGUCUAAGGAUUGCAGAGCUGGAGAAACAGGAGGAGGAGAAGAGGGAGAGAGCAAAGAGUACAAGUGGGUCAGAACAGGGGAGUGUGUCAGGAGGCUGGGCAGAGGAGAGGCAGGGUGGGCUGUGGAGGAGGGAAGAAUGGGAGGAGCAGGAGGACUACGGAAGAUGUAGAGUCACAGUCGUCUCAUCUAGAAUCAACAACCACAAGAAUUUACAGUUAUGUUACAUCAACAACAGUGAGAGCGAUGAUGAUGAGGACGAGAGGGGGGCUGGCAAAAAGGGUUCUAUAGAGGCAGGUGGCCGUGGUUACCGUCCCUCUGGACUGAAGCUGGAGGUUAGAGCUGCACUGAGUGCGCUCAGAAACAAGUUGCUUGCAGAACAGAAUGAGAAAGAGCAUCUCACCUGCAGCAGCGUGAUCACUAAAAGGAAACAUCUGGAACGCUGUGACUUGGAAGUCUGCACAAUACAGCGACUCAACUCCCUCAGAACCUCCCUAAAUCACGACAUACAUGACCUGAGCUCAGAGUUGGUGGGUCAUCUGUUGGUAAGGGACCAGCUGAGGACCAAACAAGACGCUAUGCUCCUAGACGUACAGGAUCUGACAUAACCUUAACCCAUAGGAGCACAGGAUGUGACCUCCACUGCCAGGAACUUCUAGAAGUCAUUGUGAACAAUAGAGGAUUUUGUUAUCCUUUCCAGGAUAUGCCUCUUUCAGACUGUGUUGCCCUAGUAGCUUACUCAACAUACGAUUUUUCAUACAGGAAAACAUUUCAUGAAGGAUGAAAACUGAUAAGCAACAACUUGGACUGGUAUGAUGGAAUCUAGAUCACGCAGAUAGGAUAUGGAGGAUAUCUUCAUCUUGCAUUAUGCUUGAACAUCAUUUUCAUCAACAUCAUUAACUGGGAGAGUACUGUAUGAGAUCCUUUCAACCAACGCAUGCACUUAAAAAAAAUCAUAUCAGGAGUGUUUUUUGUGAUGUUUGAAAAAUCUUGGAUAUCUGAAGGUUUAUCUUAUCAAACGUGGAACCUUCACAGGCAUCGUUUGAUCAAGCCUUCAAUGAGUUAUAUCAUUUACCUACGGAAGAGGGAUUACAGCUUUUCCACAAGUUUUAUUGUGUAAACAUUGCAAUAUCCGUGAGUUACUAAUAUAAGGGAAAGUGUGAAACAAGCUAAGGAGUUACACUCAGGCUAAAAUGAACUAUCCUUUAAAAUUGGUUGAGAAGCUCCUUUGUUACUAAUUUAACAUAAUUAUCAUGUUUAUUAUUACUAUAAUGCAUUAUAAAAGGCAUUAUAAAAUGUAGUUGCUGAUGUCCACGUAUAGUACCAUGUAUAUGAGGUGAUUCUUAUGAGGAACAUUACUCUAAACUACCACCUGCAUAGGAAACCACAAUGCUGCUAUUCCAUUAAUUAUGUGUAGGCACAAGAUAUUUACCUGAAGAUACAGGCCCAGAGUCUUUCUUGUUCAGGUCACAUGGUCACUUCUUGUGCCUUAACCAGCCAGUACUAUGUCGCACUUUCACAUAAUCAUGUGUGUUGUAGAAUGAUGCAAAGAAUGAACUGUGAUAGGAGAUUCAUAGCCAUAAGAAAGGGAAGAGUGCUCUAAAGUACAGAGUAUUUCACUUUUUAAUCUGAAGUGUGUUUUGUUAUUGACUUUUUUCUUAAUCCUUUUGUAUUCAAUAAAC
ensembl:lncRNA